rnacentral:rRNA from 1 species
AUUGAACGCUGGCGGCAGGCUUAACACAUGCAAGUCGAGCGGAGCGAGGGUGCUUGCACCUUAGCUUAGCGGCGGACGGGUGAGUAAUGCUUAGGAAUCUGCCUAUUAGUGGGGGACAACAUUCCGAAAGGAAUGCUAACACCGCAUACGUCCUACGGGAGAAAGCAGGGGAUCUUCGGACCUUGCGCUAAUAGAUGAGCCUAAGUCGGAUUAGCUAGUUGGUGGGGUAAAGGCCUACCAAGGCGACGAUCUGUAGCGGGUCUGAGAGGAUGAUCCGCCACACUGGGACUGAGACACGGCCCAGACUCCUACGGGAGGCAGCAGUGGGGAAUAUUGGACAAUGGGCGCAAGCCUGAUCCAGCCAUGCCGCGUGUGUGAAGAAGGCCUUAUGGUUGUAAAGCACUUUAAGCGAGGAGGAGGCUACUUUAGUUAAUACCUAGAGAUAGUGGACGUUACUCGCAGAAUAAGCACCGGCUAACUCUGUGCCAGCAGCCGCAGUAAUAC